GAUGAACGCUGGCGGCAUGCCUAACACAUGCAAGUCGAACGAGACCUUCGGGUCUAGUGGCGCACGGGUGCGUAACGCGUGGGAAUCUGCCCUUGGGUUCGGAAUAACAGUUGGAAACGACUGCUAAUACCGGAUGAUGUCUUCGGACCAAAGAUUUAUCGCCCAGGGGAUGAGCCCGCGUAAGAUUAGCUAGUUGGUGGGGUAAAGGCCUACCAAGGCGACGAUCUUUAGCUGGUCUGAGAGGAUGAUCAGCCACACUGGGACUGAGACACGGCCCAGACUCCUACGGGAGGCAGCAGUGGGGAAUAUUGGACAAUGGGCGCAAGCCUGAUCCAGCAAUGCCGCGUGAGUGAUGAAGGCCUUAGGGUUGUAAAGCUCUUUUACCCGGGAUGAUAAUGACAGUACCGGGAGAAUAAGCCCCGGCUAACUCCGUGCCAGCCGCCGCCGUAA
rnacentral:rRNA from 1 species